rnacentral:rRNA from 1 species
GUGAGUAACCUGCCCUUGACUCUGGGAUAAGCCUGGGAAACUGGGUCUAAUACCGGAUAUGACUCCUCAUCGCAUGGUGGGGGGUGGAAAGCUUUUGUGGUUUUGGAUGGACUCGCGGCCUAUCAGCUUGUUGGUGGGGUAAUGGCCUACCAAGGCGACGACGGGUAGCCGGCCUGAGAGGGUGACCGGCCACACUGGGACUGAGACACGGCCCAGACUCCUACGGGAGGCAGCAGUGGGGAAUAUUGCACAAUGGGCGCAAGCCUGAUGCAGCGACGCCGCGUGAGGGAUGACGGCCUUCGGGUUGUAAACCUCUUUCAGUAGGGAAGAAGCGAAAGUGACGGUACCUGCAGAAGAAGCGCCGGCUAACUACGUGCCAGCAGCCGCGGUAAUACGUAGGGCGCAAGCGUUAUCCGGAAUUAUUGGGCGUAAAGAGCUCGUAGGCGGUUUGUCGCGUCUGCUGUGAAAGACCGGGGCUCAACUCCGGUUCUGCAGUGGGUACGGGCAGACUAGAGUGCAGUAGGGGAGACUGGAAUUCCUGGUGUAGCGGUGAAAUGCGCAGAUAUCAGGAGGAACACCGAUGGCGAAGGCAGGUCUCUGGGCUGUAACUGACGCUGAGGAGCGAAAGCAUGGGGAGCGAACAGGAUUAGAUACCCUGGUAGUCCAUGCCGUAAACGUUGGGCACUAGGUGUGGGGGACAUUCCACGUUUUCCGCGCCGUAGCUAACGCAUUAAGUGCCCCGCCUGGGGAGUACGGCCGCAAGGCUAAAACUCAAAGGAAUUGACGGGGGCCCGCACAAGCGGCGGAGCAUGCGGAUUAAUUCGAUGCAACGCGAAGAACCUUACCAAGGCUUGACAUGAACCGGUAAUACCUGGAAACAGGUGCCCCGCUUGCGGUCGGUUUACAGGUGGUGCAUGGUUGUCGUCAGCUCGUGUCGUGAGAUGUUGGGUUAAGUCCCGCAACGAGCGCAACCCUCGUUCUAUGUUGCCAGCGCGUUAUGGCGGGGACUCAUAGGAGACUGCCGGGGUCAACUCGGAGGAAGGUGGGGACGACGUCAAAUCAUCAUGCCCCUUAUGUCUUGGGCUUCACGCAUGCUACAAUGGCCGGUACAAAGGGUUGCGAUACUGUGAGGUGGAGCUAAUCCCAAAAAGCCGGUCUCAGUUCGGAUUGGGGUCUGCAACUCGACCCCAUGAAGUCGGAGUCGCUAGUAAUCGCAGAUCAGCAACGCUGCGGUGAAUACGUUCCCGGGCCUUGUACACACCGCCCGUCAAGUCACGAAAGUUGGUAACACCCGAAGCCGG